ACCACCAAAACACCACUUUAUUUUUGUUCUUCUUUGUUCGACGCCAAAAACACACACACGACAACACUCUCUUUUCUUCAAUCUCAAAUUAGAUUUGGCUGGAGGAAUCAAAAGGGGAAAACACUUUUAUAUGUUCUAAUAAUAAUAAUCAAGGGUUUUGUAUCAUCUUCAUCUUCAUCUUCAUUUCAUUCAAGAACACAAAAAUUGUAACCAACAGUAAGUCUUGGAUCAUCUUGGCAUUAUAGGGCCAUUCUUUUGACUUUGGACGUAUAAUUAGCGUCAGACAUUGGAGAACUAUUAUGUUCUUAGUUCUAAUUGUACUAGACGGUCCAAAUAUUUAUCUUGUAUUAAGUGGGCCCAAUUCCAUAUAUGGAUGACUUGUAUCCGUAUUCUGGGGUCCACAUUUGAACGAUUGUACUUGUAUUAGACUUGUAUUUGGUAUUAAAUAGAUGUAAUUUCUAUUAGCCUAUGGUUAGUACGCAAUUAGUUUGUUAACCCUGUAUUUCCGCUACAACGGGGUGUGACAUUAAAUAAUGUAGAUUACUACAAUGUCGUUUACGUGAUGAUUAAUGUGUGAUUUAUAUUCA